UCAAAUAGGCUUUGUGCUAGAUGAGUUUUCCCGACUGCAGGCCGGUGUGAACGUUCUGAGCACAUGUCAGGAAGGCGAGGCUGAGCGCUCAGGUGUGGGGGGUGAGGUGUAUUUUCAAUUGAUGAUGGGUUUAAUGGAUGUAACCACCUUCUAAAUUGAGGGGAUCGUAAUUUAAAAGUACAGCUUUAUCCCCUUACAUUUUAGGAAACAGUUAUUUUCACAUUCCUCGUGUCCCAAGCCUCGGUGUCUGUGAUCACCAGGAUUAUUUUCCGAGUCAUCAUCUGGUUUUCAGAAUAUAUGUGUGCAUUUACGUUUGUUUGGGGUAGUGCUUUUGGGUUCUGAGUGCGAUACUAUCACUGGACAUUUUAUUCCAAGCCACAAAUGUAGCAUUACGUAGCAUUAGGUAUAUUGAGCAUCGUGUUGGUAUUCAUUUUUAAUCUUGAGGGGGUUACUCAAACCAAGAGAAUGUGGUGAGUUUAGUAAAGUAAUACAUGGUAUUUGGGUUUUGGUUUAAUUCCUUUUUAAUUAAAUUGCAGAACUAUCCUGGGGACUAAAAGCCUUUUGUCAUAUGCUUGCACGAACCUAUUGUAACUUCUUAUGGGUUUGGGUGACUUUUCUAGUUUACCGUAAUUAUUUUCAUGUUUCAAGGAUACCAUUUCUGCUUACCUUCCUUAGUAAACUGAAUGUUUCAACUUAUACUUGUUCCUUAUAUAGCAGAAAGGAAAGGAGAAUUUCUCAGAGAUUGCUAAUGUGACUAAAUAUUUUGGGUUCAAGUCAGUUUUUAUGUUUUUCAAUUAGAGGUUAUUUAAGUCUCACAUGACAAAUGAUUGCCUGGUACUUGAAUAAGAUUGUUCAUUCUAAGUGGCAGAAAACUUAACAUAUUUUGUGGAUUUUUCUUAAAGGUUAUUUAAGUAGGCAAUACUUCUGUGUUCCAAUAAAAUAUUAGCAUGGUAAUGAAGGUUAGUAUGGUAUUAAGUGUAGCUGUGCUUUCACUAUGAAUUAACUUACCACCUUAUUUUUCUUUUUUGACAGAGCAAAUUCGACUAAAGAAUAUCAGAAAAGUAUAUGGAAGAUGUAUGUGGUGUCGUUUAUGGUUAUUAAAACCCCAGCCAAAUAUUAUUCCUACUGUAAAGAAAAUAGUUCUGCUUGCAGGGUGGGCGUUGUUCUUAUUCUUUGCAUACAAAGUUUCCAAAACAGACCGAGAAUACCAAGAAUACAAUCCUUAUGAAGUAUUAAAUUUGGUUCCCGGAGCAACAGUAGCAGAAAUCAAGAAACAGUAUCGUUUGUUGUCACUUAAAUACCAUCCGGAUAAAGGAGGUGAUGAGGUUCUGUUCAUGAGGAUAGCAAAGCUUAUG